rnacentral:rRNA from 1 species
AUUGAACGCUGGCGGAAUGCUUUACACAUGCAAGUCGAACGGCAUCCCUUACUUCGGUCUGGUGGCGGUUGGCGAACGGGUGAGUAAUGUAUCGGAACGUGCCCAGUCGUGGGGGAUAAUGUAGUGAAAAUUACGCUAAUACCGCAUACGAUCUAUGGAUGAAAGCGGGGGAUCGCAAGACCUCGAGCGAUUGGAGCGGCCGAUAUCAGAUUAGGUAGUUGGUGGGGUAAAGGCCCACCAAGCCAACGAUCUGUAGCUGGUCUGAGAGGACGACCAGCCACACUGGAACUGAGACACGGUCCAGACUCCUACGGGAGGCAGCAGUGGGGAAUUUUGGACAAUGGGCGAAAGCCUGAUCCAGCCAUUCCGCGUGCAGGAUGAAGGCCCUCGGGUUGUAAACUGCUUUUGUACAGAACGAAAAGGUUUCUACUAAUACUAGGAGCUCAUGACGGUACUGUAAGAAUAAGCACCGGCUAACUACGUGCCAGCCGCCGCGGUAA